rnacentral:rRNA from 1 species
GAAGCUGGAGCUUGCUCUGGUGGAUUAGUGGCGAACGGGUGAGUAACACGUGAGUAACCUGCCCUUGACUCUGGGAUAAGCGUUGGAAACGACGUCUAAUACCGGAUACGAGCUUCAGCCGCAUGGCUAGGAGUUGGAAAGAAUUUCGGUCAAGGAUGGACUCGCGGCCUAUCAGCUAGUUGGUGAGGUAAUGGCUCACCAAGGCGACGACGGGUAGCCGGCCUGAGAGGGUGACCGGCCACACUGGGACUGAGACACGGCCCAGACUCCUACGGGAGGCAGCAGUGGGGAAUAUUGCACAAUGGGCGCAAGCCUGAUGCAGCAACGCCGCGUGAGGGACGACGGCCUUCGGGUUGUAAACCUCUUUUAGCAGGGAAGAAGCGAAAGUGACGGUACCUGCAGAAAAAGCACCGGCUAACUACGUGCCAGCAGCCGCGGUAAUACGUAGGGUGCAAGCGUUGUCCGGAAUUAUUGGGCGUAAAGAGCUCGUAGGCGGUUUGUCGCGUCUGCUGUGAAAACGCGAGGCUCAACCUCGCGCCUGCAGUGGGUACGGGCAAACUAGAGUGCGGUAGGGGAGAUUGGAAUUCCUGGUGUAGCGGUGGAAUGCGCAGAUAUCAGGAGGAACACCGAUGGCGAAGGCAGAUCUCUGGGCCGUAACUGACGCUGAGGAGCGAAAGCGUGGGGAGCGAACAGGAUUAGAUACCCUGGUAGUCCACGCCGUAAACGUUGGGAACUAGAUGUAGGGACCAUUCCACGGUUUCUGUGUCGCAGCUAACGCAUUAAGUUCCCCGCCUGGGGAGUACGGUCGCAAGACUAAAACUCAAAGGAAUUGACGGGGGCCCGCACAAGCGGCGGAGCAUGCGGAUUAAUUCGAUGCAACGCGAAGAACCUUACCAAGGCUUGACAUAUACGAGAACGGGCCAGAAUGGUCAACUCUUUGGACACUCGUAAACAGGUGGUGCAUGGUUGUCGUCAGCUCGUGUCGUGAGAUGUUGGGUUAAGUCCCGCAACGAGCGCAACCCUCGUCCUAUGUUGCCAGCACGUAAUGGUGGGAACUCAUGGGAGACUGCCGGGGUCAACUCGGAGGAAGGUGGGGAUGACGUCAAAUCAUCAUGCCCCUUAUGUCUUGGGCUUCACGCAUGCUACA